GCUGGGGGUGGUGGCAUGCACCUGUAGUCCCAGCUACUCGGGAGGCUGAGGUGGGAGGAUCCUUUGAGGCCAGGAGUUCCAGGCUGCAGUGAGCUAUGUUCAUGCCACUGCACUCUAGCCAGGGCAACAGAGUGAGACUCCAUCUCUU
ensembl:misc_RNA Metazoa_SRP Metazoan signal recognition particle RNA